UACGUAGGGAGCAAGCGUUGUCCGGAUUCAUUGGGCGUAAAGAGCUCGUAGGCGGUUCGGUAAGUCGGAUGUGAAACCCCCAGCUUAACCUGGGCCGCCAUCCGAUACUGCCGUGACUAGAGUCCGGUAGGGGCCCACGGAACUCCUGGUGUAGCGGUGAAAUGCGCAGAUAUCGGGAGGAACACCGGUGGCGAAGGCGG
rnacentral:rRNA from 1 species